GAUGAAGAACGUAGCGAAAUGCGAUAAGUAGUGUGAAUUGCAGAAUUCAGUGAAUCAUCGAAUCUUUGAACGCACAUUGCGCCCCUUGGUAUUCCAUGGGGCAUGCCUGUUCGAGCGUCAUUUGUACCCUCAAGCUCUGCUUGGUGUUGGGUGUUUGUCCUCUCCUCUGCGUUUGGACUCGCCUUAAAGCAAUUGGCAGCCAGUGUUUUGGUAUUGAAGCGCAGCACAUUUUGCGAUUCUAGCCGAUAAUACUUGCGUCCAUAAGCCUUUUUUAACUUUUGACCUCGGAUCAGGUAGGGAUACCCGCUGAACUUAAGCAUAUCAAUAAGCGGAGGA
rnacentral:misc_RNA from 1 species